AGCUUUGUGCAGUGGCAGUAUUGUAGCCAAUGAGGUUUAUCCGAGGCAUGAUUAUUGCUAAUUGAAAACUUCCCAAUACCACACCAUGACGACUUGAAAUACAGUCAGCAUUGGCAAUUUUUGGCAGUCUCUAUGGGGA
rnacentral:snRNA from 1 species